CGGUGUUUGAGCAGGGGAGGAAAUUAACUGGACAGAGUAUUCAGGUGGAAUGGAGGAGAAAGAGAUCAGAAUGUGGAUCCUGGUGUGGAAGAGGCACUGAGUGAGGACGAAGGCAGGGGGCAAUGCGGUGUGACUCAGAUACCUGUGCCAAAUGCCUGUCCAUGGGGGAGGUGUCUAGGGAGGAACCUUAAGAUUUUGGGCCAGGGUGACAAGAUAAAUGGCAGCACAAGUUACCAAAUUAAUGAGCCUAGGAGGGAUAAGGUUUUUUUCAUUUAUUUUUGUUUUCAUGAAGGAAGAAGAAAAUCUAAAAAUCAACUCGGUUUUGAACACUUUGAAGGUUUAAGAUGCCAGGUCCAAGUGACAAUGUUCAGACAGGCCUGGAACUUGAGGACAUGGCCUGGACAAGAAUCCUCAGCACAAGGGUGACAUUUGAAACCCCGGGAGCAGACUAAAUCGUGGAGGGGUGAGCAUACCAGAGGACUCACCGUGGGGGCCAUGCUCUCAGAGAAUAAAGGACUUGGCUGCUGUGGCUGUACUGAUGUGCUCCAUAUGAAUAUCUUCUGACCCAUUCAUCAGAUCUGGGCUUCUGGGGCAGAGCUGCUGUCCUUAGUGAGGGCCUUGGACAGGGAGAGCCUAUGGAUUGAGGAGGGAAUAGGGCCAGGGGAGCGGAGGAGGGCGGCGGGCGGGAAGGGAGAGAAAGGAAGUGAAAGGCAGACAGAUAGGGAGCUCAGAGGCAGAAUAGAAGAUUCAGGUCUGAGUUAGUCCACAAGAACCCAGGAAGACAUCUUCCCGGUCUCCACCGGCUCAUCAAAUGGGAUCAAGAUGAGAGCCAGAGAGAGUCCAGUACAGGGUGAUGCUGAUGCUGUUGAUCAAGACCAUACUUUGUGGAGCAAGGAUCUGGUGCAAACCCUUCCUGUAAACGGUUGGGAAGACUGAGGCCACAGGGGGAGAGUGACUUUCCCAAGAUACUUCAUCAGGCUGGAGGAAGGGUCUCAGGAAAUCAUUUGGAUGCUGCCAGAGAAACAGCUCUGCAUCCUGGGACCCAGCCCCACAAGCAUCUGGAUGGACAUUCUCCUGAGAGUCCAUUUCCCAGGGUCCCUAGGGACUCUGCAAGGUGAGUUCUGAACGGGUUUCUCUAGUGUUCUGGACAGUGCAGAGGUCUUUAAGAAACUGGUCACCUCAGUGUCUUGCCUGGCCUUUCCAUUUUGUCUUAGAAAAGUUUGUCCCUAAGUCAGUUUCCUUGGCAUUAGAAUGAGAAAGAUAAAACCACUAGUGACUCAGGGCUGCUGUGA